rfam:Schistosoma rodhaini strain Burundi genome assembly, scaffold: SROB_scaffold0001891
ACUGCUGAGGAGUCCCAUAAUAGGACGAAACGGCCGUCCAGUGC